UGCGCCAAAGUACCACGGGAACGAAGGAGCUGCUGGAUUUUCAGUGCAGCUGCGAUACAUCCGAAAACUAACAGAACGGCUCGGUUCGUUAAAACACAGAUCGCUGUGGUUGGUGCUGUUUGUGAUACGCGUUCGGAACGUUAUAUUGCGGUCACCGUUACUGUCUGAGCGAGCCAUCGUCGGUGUUGUGUGGCUGCCCAGUGUGUGAGUUUGGCUUAUUUUCCGGGAGUUAGCAGCGGGAACGCGGGCACCACCCUUUGCCACGGUAGAGCUGAAGUCAUCGCCGUUUGGUCAAAGUCUGCUGACUGGAUGCAAAGCUGGCACGGUGCUAGCCAGUGUACGCUCUAAGUACUCGUUCCGGGUUUUGGCUGUCGGAAGACUAGCCGCACCGCAGCAUCAAAGCUAACCAGUAUCGUUUGGCGUAAACCAUCUGCCAGUGUGCAACACAUCGAAAAGGCUUAUCACAAUGGAUAAAAGAAAAUUAUCAACAUCCGGCGACACCCUGUACCUAACGUUGGGACUGCCCAAAACGGCCACCGCCGAUGAGAUCAAGAAAACGUACCGGAAACUGGCCCUAAAGUACCACCCAGACAAGAACCCGAACAACCCAGACGCAGCGGACAAGUUCAAAGAGGUCAAUCGAGCCCAUUCCAUACUGAGUGAUUUGACGAAGCGAAACAUCUACGAUAAUUAUGGGUCACUUGGAUUGUACAUUGCGGAACAGUUUGGUGAAGAAAAUGUCAAUGCUUACUUCGUCGUUACUUCGCCUACCUGCAAGGCGUUGUUUAUGAUUUGCGGUAUUAUUACGGGAUGUUACUGCUGCUGCUGCUGUUGCUGCUGCUGUAACUUCUGCUGCGGAAAGUACAAACCCGUACCGCCGGAGAACGCUGGCGAUUAUCAUCAUCUGCACAGAGAUGGUGCCAGUAGUAGCAACGCAGGGGAAGGAUCGGCCGUCACAGAACAGCCAUCGCGAAGAGAGGACCUGGCAGAUCUGGAGGACAACGGUGGGGGCAGUGGCGGCGGUAACCCGGUAACGGCACAACCGCAAGCCGGCCAGGCGCAGGGUGCCGGCAUGCCGGUGUACGCGAUGCCUCCGCCAUCGGCCAAUCCGACCAAUCCGUUCACAGGGUCGGCCGCGACCGAGAGCACGGGCCUCAAGACGGCCAAUCAACCGGUGUACACACCUGGACACUAAAAUGCAUUUCGGAGCAUCCGGUUCGCGCGGUACCACGCGGCUUCUCACGUUCAGACAAAACCAAAACAGAAUAAAAUGGUAAACUUUGCCUUUCUGCUCUACGACAUUACUCUCACUCAUGAGAUUUGCUCCAGUUUUGAAGCUUUCCCCCAACGGCAAUCGCGAGGGCUCUCUUCUAAUCGGAACGUGAUCAUCAUCCCUCCGUGCCACGAUCGGCAACAGCACGCACUUUCGUUGUUGUUGUUGUUAUUAAGUUGUGCGCUCGUUGUUCAUCGUCCCCUUUUACACCCAUCAGCAACGUUCUACAAGGCUCUCGAAUCGUAGCAAUUGAUGGCAUGUUCCCUCCGUGUACAAUCGCCGUAUGAAGUGAAGCUGUUAAUCGUCGCCAUUAAUCAUAAUGUUGUGUGUUUGUGGUUCUCGUCGUGCACACGCUCGGUUAGCCAGCGCUCGGCGGGUGUGCCCGGUCCGAAACUCGCUUCGCUCGCCGCCGCUCCCAGCGCAACCUAUCACUCCUGCAGCGGAUUGCACGGAACGUUGGACAAGAAAACCAAACAAACAAUGUAUUGUAACAAUAAUAACAAAUCGUAAUACUAGCGCAGAUAGCAAGAGAGAGCGAGAGUUUGUGUGUACGUGGAGGAUGUUAAGAACAAUCGAGAGAAUACAGCGAGAGAGAGAUUGAGAGCCAGAGCGAGGAGAUAUAUCUGUUUUAAGAAAUAUUUAUACGUUAAACGAUUGAGCAAAACAAAAUGCGUGUCCCGGCACCAGUUCCUCUUUAUAUCUCUCUUCUUGUGAGAUAUUUUGCACACAGAUAUGCACUUCACCCCAACACAGCUGUGGGGCUUUAGUCGAUCGUGUGAUGUGUGUGUUUUUGUCUUUUUCGAUCGUGUGAUGUGUGGUGGUAGACAAAAAUCAAAAUCAAACUCCUUACCACAUCAUGUGUUUUGCUGUUACUACUAGAAAAGUAUCAAUAGAGGGAGAACGGGCCACCGUGGGACUGUGCCCCGGGGACGCUUUGUUUUAAUUGAACACACAUCCCGUGAGUCGGACACAUCGGGGUCGGAUGGAAUCGCUGUGUGGGGGUACCCUCCGGGCGCACUGAUUGAAGUUGAAAUGAACGCGAACAUUACAAGGUACAAGGAAACGGAUCGGAAAAGACACCUAGUGGAAGGGAAACACGGAAGACAUGAAUCCCAAUGGAAACCGCUAGUAGCAUGAGGUAGAGCGAGAGCCAGAGAGAGAAGCUAGGUUAUGUUGGCAACGAUCAACAAUAAACAACAAACUCCGUUUUACGCCCUCAUUUAUUGAGUGUUCAGAUUCAGACUUGAGAUUUUUGCAAUUCAUAUUCGCUUCAAUUUCGGGACAACGAGCUGCAGGGAGCGUUAACUUUACGUCGUCCAGGACAGACCUGCUAGGCCGGCGAAGAGACUAGCCCAACAAAUCUAAGGUCACACGUAGCCGCUUGUUAUGUUUUGUGUAGCAUCUCUUGUAUCUCCUCAGCGUGGCAGAGAAAUCCAAAUCACAUCCCGCUCCAAGGAUGGACACAAAUUAAACAAAGAACAAUACACAUAUAUAUACACUCACAAAAAUUCAUAUAUCUUAUAUCCAUUUAUCCCGAAUUUCCAAAGCAUUCGAAGCACGGUCGGGAUCGAGCAGCCUCACCCGGCAUUGUUAGCAGUCGUCUGUGUUGUUGUUGGUGUUCUCUCUAGGCGUGUGUAUUAGGCGUACAAGAUGUGUAACUCAGAAUUCAGGGGGCGCACCUAACGAGAGGUAGGAAGAAUCAUCGACCGCCAUCAUCCGACCGCUCUUGGGAGGCGAAGCGUCAUAAGGACGACGACGACGCGCGCGGACACGAUGCGAAGAGCCCUUACAAUUUAAAUACUGUAAAAAUACGCGAACACGAAGGAGCGCAGCACCAACGGCGGCGUGCCGGUCAAAAACCCGGCGAACCUCAAUUUCCAAAACAAUUCACGGCGCACCGACGACGUGUUACGAUAACCCCGAUUCUCUAACUCUAACGAAUGUAAUAAUAAACAAAUCCUAAGACCUGAACGACGAAACAUUCAUUGCCACACGUACGUGUUAUGCAAAACAAUCCAACCCAAAAAAGGCGCAGUCCACAAAAUAGAGCCCCGCGUCAAAUAAAACUG